rnacentral:rRNA from 1 species
CAAUAGCGUAUAUUAAAGUUGUUGCGGUAAAAAAGCUCGUAGUUGGAUUUCUGUUGAGAGCGACCGGUCCAUACCAUGUAUGCGUAUCUGGCUUGCUCUCGGCAUCCUCUCGAUAGACGUUACUGCGCUUGAUUGCGUGGUGCGGAUCUCGGGACUUUUACUUUGAGGAAAUUAGAGUGUUCACGGCAGGCUUUCGCCAGAAUACAUUAGCAUGGAAUAAUACUAUAGGAUCUUGGUUCUAUUUUGUUGGUUUCUAGAAUUGAGAUAAUGAUUAAUAGGGACAAUUGGGGGCAUUCGUAUCAACACGUCAGAGGUGGAAUUCUUGGAUUGUGUUGCGACAAACUACUGCGAAAGCAUUUGCCAAGGAUGUUUUCAUUGA